CGGCCCCGCCCCGCGCACCCCCGCCGGAAGCCGCCCGCGCGCCCCCGCCGUCGCCCCUCGGCGGGGCCGCGCGCGUCCGGCGCUUUUCGCGGGGCCGCCCCCUGGAGCCGGAGGAGAGCGGCCGCGCGCGGGGCUCCAGCGCCGAGGAUGGUGCUUCCGCGGAGAGUCCCGUCGCGAGGCCCAUCUCGGAAGGUCACGGAAGAGUCGGGGAGAGGAGCGGCCUGGCCUGUGCAAAUGGUCGGGAAGGCCGGCCUAGCGCGCGGCGGCCCUGCAAGGAGAGAGGCUCCCGAGACGCUGUCAAAGCGCAUUGCAAACAUUGCGUGGAGGAGAGGACGACCUGCGGCCGUGUUUUAGCUUCUUCUUUUCACUUGGCCUCGGUUUUCGUCCAGAGUAGAGCACCAAAUGUAAUUAGCUGGAGAGCGUUUGAUGGCGCAGAAUCAUGGUUUGAAGAUGUUUACCCUCUAUGCCGGACACGUUUGAUGAUGUUCUCUUCAGCACAAUUAAUUUGCAAAGUUCAGAAAUGUGCCAGAUGGAGCCCCUGGCACGCAGAGUCCCAGGGCUCUGCAGACACACCUUCAUAGGAAGCCAGCUUGUUUGUUUCAUUUGUGAUUUAUUUGAUGCACCAGCACAAAGGCCGACGUGUUUUUAUAAGAGACCUUUGGGAUGAAAUUCCAAAGCAAUUUCUAAAUUGGCAAAAUGAACCUUAUUUUCUGAGGCAAUAUUUCCCUGUUGAUAAUGUAACUAGAAUGGGCACAAAAACACCAUCAGGUACACGGAAAUGUAGUCUCCCUAAAUGAAAGUGUGUGUUUCACGGUAAGACAUGGACCCCACUUGUGUUCUAACGGCCAGCUUCAUUCAUAGGUAUUUUAAACGCCAAAACUAAUGCUUCCUAUUAUCUCUGAGACCUUGUUUGCAAAACAGGCUUCCAGUAUGUGUACCUGAACCCCUGUUGAAGAUGCUGCUUUUUGUGUUACCCUGGUUCUUGAGUCCUUGGUGGUUUGGGACAUUUAUCUCAUUUAAAAAGAGUUUAAUGGAUGAAGGGGUUCAACAAAGAGGCUCAAGUGCCUAGAGUCUAAGAAAAUUGUGAUGUAGCCCCUACAUGAGUUGGAGAAAUUCCUUUUGUGGGAAAAAAUCAUAGUUUUUAAGCAUAUUACGUAGAAUGCUUACUUCUAUUACUUAGACUUUGAAACUCUUGGGGGAAUAAUAAUGCCUAGCAACUAUUGGAUACACUCUGUGCCUGGCGCCAUCCGUCAGCUCUUUGAACCUGCACAACAUACCUGUAAAACAGGUACUGUAUCACACAUAGGGGUGUGUUGAUGCAGAUUUUAUGAGAAAUUUAUGCAAUUUGGGUGGUCCUCCCAAAGGAAAAGGAAAAACAAAACAAUACAGCACACCCAAGCUGCUCCAGCACCACCCAACCCAAGGGAAAGUGACAAAGGGAAAACUGAAAGGAAAAGAGAUCUCAGUCUCAGCUGAUGGUGGUUAAAAUAUCUUACUUUUGCCAAUUGUACAAAAACACGGCCAUGUGAAUGUAUUGCCUUGUCUCCUGCCAGGGACUUGGAUGUGGGGCUGGAACAAUGCCUUAAAGAUUUAAUUAGAUUCAGAAACUUGCCUCCAGUGCACACUCCCCUAUCACAAGUUGGGGAGCUCAGGAACUUGCCACAGUUUUCAAGGAGCACCCAAGGACCCACACCAUACUGAGGUCUGGUUUGAAGAGCCAUGUUACACACACUUUUCAUGAGAAAAAGUAGAUUUUAUAUUUCCAUAGGAAAGCAGGGGCUUUAAAAAUAUCUUAGCAAUUUUCUGAUUACGACCAGAAACUCAGUUUUUGCAGCACUUGAUCUGGUCCUGCUGAGUUGAUGGUAGGAAAUUUUCCUUAAUGAUUGUAUAAAAGGUGGAUUAACCUCUUUGGAUUCUUAAAGGAAUUUAACUUAAUUUAAAGUGCCACGGAUUGACACUGUUAUUUCCCUUGUCAU
ensembl:lncRNA